rnacentral:lncRNA from 1 species
GGGUGUCUCCUGGGGGGGUGUCUCCUGGGGGGGUGUCUCCUGGGGGGGUGUCUCCUGGGGGGGUGUCUCCUGGGGGGGUGUCUCCUGGGGGGGUGUCUCCUGGGGGGGUGUCUCCUGGGGGGGUGUCUCCUGGGGGGGUGUCUCCUGGGGGGGUGUCUCCUGGGGGGGUGUCUCCUGGGGGGGGGUGUCUCCUGGGGGGGGGGGGUCUUCUGGGGGGGGGUCUCUUGGGGAGGAUUGGGGGGGGGGGGGAGGAUUGGGGGGGUCUUCUGGAAGGGUGUCUCUUGGGGAGGAUUGGGAGGGGUGUCUCUUGGGGAGAAUUGGGAGGGGUGUCUUGGGGAGGAUUGGGAGGGGUGUCUUGGGGAGGAUUGGGAGGGGUGUCUUGGGGAGGAUUGGGAGGGGUGUCUUGGGGAGGAUUGGGAGGGGUGUCUUGGGGAGGAUUGGGAGGGGGGGGAGGAUUGGGAGGGGGGGGGGGAUUGGGAGGGGGGGGAGGAUUGGGAGGGGUGUCUCUUGGGGAGGGGGGGAGGAUUGGGAGGGGUGUCUCUUGGGGAGGGGGGGAGGAUUGGGAGGGGUGUCUCUUGGGGAGGAGUGGGAGGGGUGUAUCUUCUGGCCCUGGGGAGGGGGGGGGGGAUUGGGAGGGGUGUAUCUUGGGGAGGAUUGUGUCUUCUGGCCCUGGGGAGGGGGGGGGGGAGGAGGAGAGGGAGUGUCUCCUGGCUGAGGAUAGGGGGGAUUGGGAGGGGUGUCUCUUGGGGAGGAUUGUGUCUUCUGGCCCUGGGGAGGGGGGGGGGAUUGGGAGGGUUGUCUUUUGGCCCUGGGGAGGGGGGGGGGGGAUUGGGAGGGUUGUCUUUUGGCCCUGGGGAGGGGGGGGGGGGGAUUGGGAGGGGUGUCUUUUGGCCCUGGGGGGGGGUGAGUGUCUCCUGGCUGAGGAUGGGGGGGAGGGAUUGGGAGGGUUGUCUUUUGGCCCGGGGGGGGGGGGGGGAAGAAGAGUGUCUCCUGGCUGAGGAUAGGGGGGAUUGGGAGGGGUGUCUCCUGGCUGAGGAUAGGGGGGAUUGGGAGGGGUGUCUCCUGGCUGAGGAUAGGGGGGAUUGGGAGGGGUGUCUCCUGGCUGAGGAUAGGGGGGAUUGGGAGGGGUGUCUCCUGGCUGAGGAUAGGGGGGAUUGGGAGGGGUGUCUCCUGGCUGAGGAUAGGGGGGAUUGGGAGGGGUGUCUCCUGGCUGAGGAUAGGGGGGAUUGGGAGGGGUGUCUCCUGGCUGAGGAUAGGGGGGAUUGGGAGGGGUGUCUCCUGGCUGAGGAUAGGGGGGAUUGGGAGGGGUGUCUUCUGGCCUGGGGGAGGGGGGUGAUUGGGAGGGGUGUCUCCUGGCCUUGGGAGGGGGGGGUCAUGGCUUUUGGUAUUGUAUUUUCUAAACUUUCCCCAGAUCAACCUCUGUUCAGGUUGUGUUUAGCUGUUCCAUGUUGCUUUGGGGAUCCCUGA